GUUCCCAUGGUCCAGGGGUUAAGACAUUAGGUUUUCAACUUAAAGACGGGAGUUCGAUUCUCCUUGGGAAUA
rnacentral:tRNA from 10 species